UACAGAGGUCUCAAGCGUUGUUCGGAUUCAUUGGGCGUAAAGGGUGCGUAGGUGGCGCCGUAAGUCGGGUGUGAAAUCCUGAGGCUUAACCUCAGAAUUGCAUUCGAUACUGCGGUGCUUGAGGACUGGAGAGGAGACUGGAAUUCAUGGUGUAGCAGUGAAAUGCGUAGAGAUCAUGAGGAAGACCAGUGGCGAAGGCGGGUCUCUGGACAGUUCCUGACACUGAGGCACGAAGGCCAGGGGAGCAAACGGG
rnacentral:rRNA from 1 species